CCCCUGUGGUGCUGGAUGCUGUUGUGCAUGAACAGCUCUCCAGUGGAUUCGAUGGGCCCCAGCAAUCUUGUGAUUUAUGCAGGGAGGGUGCUUCUCCUCAGCAGCUGCCAUAGCCCGGUCGCUGGUACAUGA
rnacentral:snoRNA from 13 species